AUGAACUUUCUCUCUGGAGCCGACAACCCGAAGCUAAGGUAAAGCUCCCGGCCAACCAACUGUGGACAGACUUCCGAAACAUCUUUCCAGAAAGUACUGCUUCUUCCACGUCCCGACAUUGUUUUCCUGGAACACAUAAUUUCAUGAUUCAGAGAGCACAGGCAGAGAGACAGGAGUUUCCAGUUCAUAACUGGUAGAAGGAGGAUUGAGCAGAGAUGAAGGAGCAGAGACGAAGCGUGUAGUCCAGAGAUGUUGGAGCACAAGGUUGAGAAGAAGCUCUACGUCAUGACAAGAGAAAGGAAAGUCAUCCAGCAGUGUGUCAUGUGGACCUUUAGAUGAAGAAGAAGGAGGAGAAGAAAUGUUGGAAGAGAGGGGAUGGAAAGCAGGCAAAGCUGUAGGAGUACUGUAGGAAAGGUCCUUAUGUACAAAGGAAGCCGACUUGUCAGAGCAAACAGAGUCAACAGUAUCAGAAGUUACUGGCUCUCCAGUAGAACCAUAUGUGUGGUCACAUGUUUCAUUAUUAUGCUUUUCCGUCACAGAUGUUACAGAAUAUGUAUGAUCAAAAUCAAAACCACUGGACUCGUGUACAGGUUUGAAAACAUCAAACCAGUGCUGUAGGAUAUCAGGAUGAGAACGUAGUGAAGCAAACUGUUGUUCGAUAACAAUAUCUCUCUGUGUCUGAUGAGACUUAGGAACUCUACAUGCAAACUGGUGACAUGACUCAAAAUGAUGUGUUAAAGUAGAAACAAAAACAUUACAGGACUCUCGAACUGAAGUAUUGCUCUCAA